rnacentral:rRNA from 1 species
UGGAUGAUGUGGAUUAAUUCGAUGCAACGCGAAGAACCUUACCUACCCUUGACAUGUCCGGAACUUGCCAGAGAUGGCUUGGUGCCCGAAAGGGAACCGGAACACAGGUGCUGCAUGGCUGUCGUCAGCUCGUGUCGUGAGAUGUUGGGUUAAGUCCCGCAACGAGCGCAACCCUUGUCCUUAGUUGCUACGCAAGAGCACUCUAAGGAGACUGCCGGUGACAAACCGGAGGAAGGUGGGGAUGACGUCAAGUCCUCAUGGCCCUUAUGGGUAGGGCUUCACACGUCAUACAAUGGUCGGUACAGAGGGUUGCCAAGCCGCGAGGUGGAGCCAAUCCCACAAAGCCGAUCGUAGUCCGGAUUGUUCUCUGCAACUCGAGAGCAUGAAGUCGGAAUCGCUAGUAAUCGCAGGUCAGCAUACUGCGGUGAAUACGUUCCCGGGUCUU